AAGAUCUCUUUAGUUAAUUAAAAGCACAACAAUUUGUUUAGUUUGAACUAAACUAAACUGACUUACCUAAGCCAGACUGCUGGAAGCAAAGUGAAAGGAGCAUUAAAAUAUUACAGCCAAUGAUGACGUCGGAAUAAGUCUUUAUUGAAAAGCUCAGCUUAGUGGCAUCAGCAUUUGAAUGGAUCUUAAUAUGGCACACCAUUCUGUAAGCUGCGAGAGGAGGCCAGAGGAGUCGAGACGGCUGAGCUUAAGGGCUAUUUAUAUUGACAAAGCAGAGAAAACUAAGGGAGUAGCUUACGGUCCAUGCUAAAACCCAAUGGAACAACUCUGGAGAAAACUGAAAACAACUGUCCAUUGGUGGUCUCCAUCCAACCUGACCAAACUUGAGAGGAUCUGCAGUGAAGAAUGGCAGAGAAUGCGAUGCUUGACACGUCAGAGCCAAGGAGACUCCAG